rnacentral:lncRNA from 1 species
GAAAUCAAGGCGAAGAUCAACCGGCUGUCGCAAACCCUUUCGAACACGGUAAUUAAUUCUCUUGCAAAAACACCCAAGAGGCGGUGUGGUUCUUUUUGCCUGUCUGUCUGUCUAUGAUNAAAACACCCAAGAAGCGGUGUGGUUCUUUUUGCUUGUCUGUCUGUCUGUCUAUGAUAUGGUUUGCUGAGAAGAAGAAUGAACAACUGGUGCAGACGCUGGUGUCGAGGCUGCCUGACCGUGGGGAG